AAAAGGAGACAUAAAAUUCAACUUUUGCUACCCAUUCUUUCCCUUUUUGCUUUCCACAUAAUUUAGCUGGGAAUUUUUAUAUGUGUAGUAUUUAUUUUGUGUUAUCCUCGUUAUUAUAAAGUUAUCUAAGAGGCUAGGAGAGCUGACCGACAGAAGGGGAAAAAAAGCAGUUAUUCUGACUGCAGUGACCAAAGGAGUUCAAGUCACACCAACAUCUUUCUCCCAUUUAGAAGCAUUCUAGUAUUUAAGGCCUUCUACUAUAAGCCCCUUACUAGUUCUUUUCCUUUCUAUUUCAUUUCUUUCUACUCUCAUAUUUGUGUUUUCUGUUCCUA
ensembl:misc_RNA